UCAGUCUUACCGGUGGAUCGCUCGGUUCGUGGAUCGAUGAAGAACGCAGCAAACUGCGAUAAGUAGCGUGAAAUGCAGACGCUUUGAACGCCAAACUUUCGAACGCACAUUGCACCGUAGGAGUCCUACCCUACGGCACAUCUGGUUGAGGGUCGUG
rnacentral:rRNA from 1 species